UUGAACGCUGGCGGCAUGCCUUACACAUGCAAGUCGAACGGUAACAGGUCUUCGGAUGCUGACGAGUGGCGAACGGGUGAGUAAUACAUCGGAACGUGCCCGAUCGUGGGGGAUAACGGAGCGAAAGCUUUGCUAAUACCGCAUACGAUCUACGGAUGAAAGCAGGGGACCGCAAGGCCUUGCGCGGACGGAGCGGCCGAUGGCAGAUUAGGUAGUUGGUGGGAUAAAAGCUUACCAAGCCGACGAUCUGUAGCUGGUCUGAGAGGACGACCAGCCACACUGGGACUGAGACACGGCCCAGACUCCUACGGGAGGCAGCAGUGGGUAAUUUUGGACAAUGGGCGAAAGCCUGAUCCAGCCAUGCCGCGUGCAGGAUGAAGGCCUUCGGGUUGUAAAGCUCUUUUGUCAGGGAAGAAACGGUGAGUUCUAAUACAGCUUGCUAAUGACGGUACCUGAAGAAUAAGCACCGGCUAACUACGU
rnacentral:rRNA from 1 species